GACGAACGCUGGCGGCGUGCUUAACACAUGCAAGUCGAACGGAAAGGCCCUGCUUUUGUGGGGUGCUCGAGUGGCGAACGGGUGAGUAACACGUGAGUAACCUGCCCUUGACUUUGGGAUAACUUCAGGAAACUGGGGCUAAUACCGGAUAGGAGCUCCUGCUGCAUGGUGGGGGUUGGAAAGUUUCGGCGGUUGGGGAUGGACUCGCGGCUUAUCAGCUUGUUGGUGGGGUAGUGGCUUACCAAGGCUUUGACGGGUAGCCGGCCUGAGGGGGUGACCGGCCACAUUGGGACUGAGAUACGGCCCAGACUCCUACGGGAGGCAGCAGUGGGGAAUAUUGCACAAUGGGCGGAAGCCUGAUGCAGCAACGCCGCGUGCGGGAUGACGGCCUUCGGGUUGUAAACCGCUUUCGCCUGUGACGAAGCGUGAGUGACGGUAAUGGGUAAAGAAGCACCGGCUAACUACGUGCCAGCAGCCGCGGUGAUACGUAGGGUGCGAGCGUUGUCCGGAUUUAUUGGGCGUAAAGGGCUCGUAGGUGGUUGAUCGCGUCGGAAGUGUAAUCUUGGGGCUUAACCCUGAGCGUGCUUUCGAUACGGGUUGACUUGAGGAAGGUAGGGGAGAAUGGAAUUCCUGGUGGAGCGGUGGAAUGCGCAGAUAUCAGGAGGAACACCAGUGGCGAAGGCGGUUCUCUGGGCCUUUCCUGACGCUGAGGAGCGAAAGCGUGGGGAGCGAACAGGCUUAGAUACCCUGGUAGUCCACGCUGUAAACGGUGGGUACUAGGUGUGGGGUCCAUUCCACGGGUUCCGUGCCGUAGCUAACGCUUUAAGUACCCCGCCUGGGGAGUACGGCCGCAAGGCUAAAACUCAAAGGAAUUGACGGGGCCCCGCACAAGCGGCGGAGCAUGCGGAUUAAUUCGAUGCAACGCGUAGAACCUUACCUGGGUUUGACAUGGAUCGGGAGCGCUCAGAGAUGGGUGUGCCUCUUUUGGGGUCGGUUCACAGGUGGUGCAUGGCUGUCGUCAGCUCGUGUCGUGAGAUGUUGGGUUAAGUCCCGCAACGAGCGCAACCCUUGUUCACUGUUGCCAGCACGUUAUGGUGGGGACUCAGUGGAGACCGCCGGGGUCAACUCGGAGGAAGGUGGGGAUGACGUCAGGUCAUCAUGCCCCUUAUGUCCAGGGCUUCACGCAUGCUACAAUGGCUGGUACAGAGAGUGGCGAGCCUGUGAGGGUGAGCGAAUCUCGGAAAGCCGGUCUCAGUUCGGAUUGGGGUCUGCAACUCGACCUCAUGAAGUCGGAGUCGCUAGUAAUCGCAGAUCAGCAACGCUGCGGUGAAUACGUUCCCGGGGCU
rnacentral:rRNA from 1 species